GACGAACGCUGGCGGCGUGCUUAACACAUGCAAGUCGAGGGGUCUCCGCAAGGGGGCACCGGCGAACGGGUGCGUAACACGUGAGCGACCUGCCGUCCCUGUGGGGGAUAGCCGGCCCAACGGCCGGGUAAUACCGCAUACGCUCUGGCCCGGGCAUCUGGGCGAGAAGAAAGCUGGGGCAACCUGGCGCAGGACGAGGGGCUCGCGGCCUAUCAGCUGGUUGGCGGGGUAACGGCCCACCAAGGCGACGACGGGUAGCUGGUCUGAGAGGAUGGCCAGCCACAUUGGGACUGAGAGACGGCCCAGACUCCUACGGGAGGCAGCAGUGGGGAAUCUUGCGCAAUGGCCACAAGGCUGACGCAGCGACGCCGCGUGUGGGAGGACGCCUCGGGUGGUAAC
rnacentral:rRNA from 1 species